CCGACCUUAUAUGUGGCGCCUCUCCGAACUCCCUCGGCCGUCCAAACUUCUCCGACAAUGAGUUCCUCCAUUCGUUUACCGGGCCAUCCUAAAAGCUCCCUGGACCUCGCUGACAGUCGACCUCCUACAGCAGCCAACCAUUCCCCAGUCUCUCUCGAAUUUCUUCCGGCCACGGACGACCCUGCUUUGAACUUCUUCCGAGCUUCAUCAGCAUCCGAGCUUCUCCGACAACGAGGUUUCUACAGUAACCAGACUCCAC
rnacentral:lncRNA from 1 species